rnacentral:rRNA from 1 species
AUUGAACGCUGGCGGCAGGCCUAACACAUGCAAGUCGAACGAGUGGCGGACGGGUGAGUAAUGUCUGGGAAACUGCCUGAUGGAGGGGGAUAACUACUGGAAACGGUAGCUAAUACCGCAUACCAUCAGAUGUGCCCAGAUUGGAUUAGCUUGUUGGUGGGGUAACGGCUCACCAAGGCGACGACCCCUAGCUGGUCUGAGAGGAUGACCAGCCACACUGGAACUGAGACACGGUCCAGACUCCGACGGUGGGCAGCAUUGGGGAAUAUUGCACAAUGGGCGCAAGCCUGAUGCAGCCAUGCCGCGAGGAUGAAGAAGGCCUUCGGGUUGUAAAGUACUUUCAGCGGGGAGGCAUUACCCGCAGAAGAAGCACCGGCUAACUCCAAGCCAGCAGCCGCGGUAAUUC